rnacentral:rRNA from 1 species
GGUUAAGUCCCGCAACGAGCGCAACCCUUAUCCUUUGUUGCCAGCGGUCCGGCCGGGAACUCAAAGGAGACUGCCAGUGAUAAACUGGAGGAAGGUGGGGAUGACGUCAAGUCAUCAUGGCCCUUACGACCAGGGCUACACACGUGCUACAAUGGCGCAUACAAAGAGAAGCGAUCUCGCGAGAGCAAGCGGACCUCAUAAAGUGCGUCGUAGUCCGGAUUGGAGUCUGCAACUCGACUCCAUGAAGUCGGAAUCGCUAGUAAUCGUGGAUCAGAAUGCCACGGUGAAUACGUUCCCGGGCCUUGUACACACCGCCCGUCACACCAUGGGAGUGGGUUGCAAAAGAAGU